GAACGCUGGCGGCGUGCCUAAUACAUGCAAGUCGAACGGUCUUUCUAUGGAAGCUUGCUUCCACUGAGAAGAUAGUGGCGAACGGGUGAGUAACACGUGGGUAACCUGCCCAUAAGAGGGGGAGUAACAUCCGGAAACGGGUGCUAAUACCGCAUAGUUUUCUUGAUCGCAUGAUUGAGAAAGGAAAGACGGCCUUUGUGCUGUCGCUUAUGGAUGGACCCGCGGCGCAUUAGUUAGUUGGUGAGGUAACGGCUCACCAAGACGAUGAUACGUAGCCGACCUGAGAGGGUGAUCGGCCACAUUGGGACUGAGACACGGCCCAAACUCCUACGGGAGGCAGCAGUAGGGAAUCUUCCGCAAUGGACGAAAGUCUGACGGAGCAACGCCGCGUGAGUGAAGAAAGGUUUUCGGAUCGUAAAACUCUGUUGUCAGAGAAGAACAAGUUGGAGAGUAACUGCUCCAGCCUUGACGGUAUCUGACCAGAAAGCCACGGCUAACUACGUGCCAGCCGCAGC
rnacentral:rRNA from 1 species